CCUACGGGUGGCAGCAGUGGGGAAUAUUGCACAAUGGGGGAAACCCUGAUGCAGCAACGCCGCGUGAAGGAAGACGGUUUUCGGAUGGAAAACUUCUGUUCUUAGUGAAGAAUAAUGACGGAAGCAAAGGAGCAAGCCACGGCUAACUACGUGCCAGCAGCCGCGGUAAUACGUAGGUGGCAAGCGUUGUCCGGAAUAACUGGGUGUAAAGGGAGCGCAGGCGGGAAGCAAAGUCAGAUGUUAAAACUACGGGCUUAACUUGUGGACUGCAGUUGAAACUGGUUUGCUUGAGUGAAGUAGAGGUUGGCGGAAUUCCUAGUGUAGCGGUGAAAUGCGUAGAUAUUCGGCAGAACACCGGUGGCGAAGGCGGCCUACUGGGCUUUCACUGACGCUGAGGCUCGAAAGUGUGGGGAGCGAACAGGAUUAGAUACCCUAGUAGUC
rnacentral:rRNA from 1 species